rnacentral:rRNA from 1 species
AUUAAAAACCAAUGCCCCUCGGGGCUCUCUGGUGAAUCAUGAUAACUAGUCGAAUCGACAGGCCUUGUGCCGGCGAUGGCUCAUUCAAAUUUCUUCCCUAUCAACUUUCGAUGUUUGGGUCUUGUCCAAACAUGGUGGCAACGGGUAACGGAGGGUUAGGGCUCGACCCCGGAGAAGGAGCCUGAGAAACGGCUACUACAUCCAAGGAAGGCAGCAGGCGCGCAAAUUACCCAAUCCCGACACGGGGAGGUAGUGACAAUAAAUACUGAUACAGGGCUCUUUUGGGUCUUGUAAUCGGAAUGAGUACAAUUUAAAUCCCUUAACGAGGAACAAUUGGAGGGCAAGUCUGGUGCCAGCAGCCGCGGUAAUUCCAGCUCCAAUAGCGUAUAUUAAAGUUGUUGUGGUUAAAAAGCUCGUAGUUGAACCUUGGGCCUGGCUGGCCGGUCCGCCUCACCGCGUGCACUGGUCCGGCCGGGCCUUUCCCUCUGCGGAACCCCAUGCCCUUCACUGGGUGUGGC